rnacentral:rRNA from 1 species
UACGUAGGGGGCAAGCGUUGUCCGGAUUUAUUGGGCGUAAAGAGCGUGUAGGCGGCUGGGUAGGUCCGUUGUGAAAACCCGAGGCUCAACCUCGGGCCUGCAGUGGGUACGGGCAGACUAGAGUGCGGUAGGGGAGAUUGGAAUACCUGGUGUAGCGGUGAAAUGCGCAGAUAUCAGGAGGAACACCGGUGGCGAAGGCGGGUCUCUGGGCCGAUACUGACGCUGAGGAGCGAAAGCGUGGGGAGCGAACAGG